CUCACUAAGACCGUGACAAAUCAUGACAAACCAUGUCAAAUUGUGAGGAUAAAACCACGUCAAAAUUGUGAUGAACCAUGCAUGCAGGAUUUGAAUCGUUAGAACCCAUACUAAACUGUGCUACUUAUCUCGGAUAUUCGGCAAUUUUGCUAUAAUACAUGAUGUACUCUUGCCAACAUUUACGUGCUUGGAUGGAGUCAUGGG
rnacentral:lncRNA from 1 species